rnacentral:sRNA from 35 species
AUAUCUCUCUGUACGGGAAGGAUGAGAAGCUUCGACUAAGGUUCGAUUCGAGCGCAGCGAGAAAGCGUUGCCGUAGGCAACGACCCGAAGGGCGAAGCGCGCAGCGCUGAGUAAUCCUUCCCCCGUCAUCC